rnacentral:rRNA from 1 species
CUUCCCUAGGGUGAACCUGCGGAAGGAUCAUUAAAGAUUGAACGUCUGUCGAGCUUGCUCACAGGCACAUCAUAUCCAUAACACCUGUGCACUUGUCGGAUGGCUUAGUGAAGACCCCAAGGUUGGAACUAUCCCUCUACUUUACAUAACAAAUCUGUAACAAAAGUAGUCUUAUUAUAACAUAAAAAAACUUUCAACAACGGAUCUCUUGGCUCUCGCAUCGAUGAAGAACGCAGCGAAAAGCGAUAAGUAAAGUGAAAUGCAGAAAUCAGUGAAACAUCGAAACUUUGAACGCACCUUGCGCUCCUUGGUAUUCCCAGGAGCAUGCCUGUUUGAGUGUCAUGAAAACCCUCAACCUUAGAUUGGUUAAAACCUUUCUUUGGCUUGGAUUUGGACGUUUGCCCAUGAUAAGUCGGCUCGUCUUAAAAGUAAAAGCUGGAUCUGUCUCGCGACAUGGUUUGACUUGGCGUAAAAAGUAUUUCGCUAAGGACAUCUUCGGAUGGCCCCGUUGCAAGACUAAAGACCCCUUUCUAAAUCAUUGAUCUUCGGAUUAAAAUUCUUGACAUCUGGCCUCAAAACAGGUAGGACUACCCCCUGAACUUAAGCAUAUCAAAAAGCCCGAGGAAGGAU